rnacentral:other from 1 species
UACUCUCUGGCGUGUUCGUUACGGGUGUUAUUAAGGGGACUCCGCGUACUGACCCGCGGGGAUCUGUUCCUUGUCGUGGCGUGCAUACCGGUCAUAGCGUAUCGGGAGCCAAAAGCGACAACACGGAGCCCACCUUGAAAAAGGAUGCGGAGUCAUGAAUAUCCCGAACACGGCACGCUGGAGUUAUU